rfam:Dipodomys ordii contig_67195, whole genome shotgun sequence.
GGUGGCCCAGUGGCAGAGCGCUUGCCUUGCAUGCAUGAGGCUCUGGGUUCAAUUCCUCAGCACCA